rnacentral:rRNA from 1 species
GCGUGAUAAUUCGUCCUUUAAUUGUGGGCUUGUACGAAUGAGUUAACGAAAAUUAAGCUGUCUCUAUAUAUUAUUUAGAAAUUGAUUUUUAAGUGAAAAAACUUAAAUAUUAAUAAAGGACAAAAAGACCCCAUAGAGCUUAACUAUAAUUAAAUUGUAUAUAAAAAUUAAUUAUAUUUAAUAAUUUAUUUAAAUUAGUUUAACUGGGGCGGUUAAGGAAAUAUUUUACUUCCUUAUAAUAUUAUAAUUUAAAUUUAAUUUUCAUUAUUAGAUCCUUUAAAAGAUUAAAAGAAAAGCUACCUUGGGGGUAACAGACUAAUUUUCUUUGAGAGCUCGUAUUGACAAGAAAGU